UGAGGAGGAAACACAGGGCUGUAUAAGGGGGGGUGCUGAUGCACAGCUUCUGGGGAGGUUUGGCACUAUCGAGGAGUGUGGCCAGGCCUGCUUGUUUCUGGCAGCAGAGGGCACCUUCUGUACCGGCAUCGAUCUCAACCUGUCCGGUGGCGCUGAGCUCAACUAUGGCUUCAAGAACAUGAGAGAAAGAACAGGCAUCUACCAAUAAGAGUGUUGCUCUUCAAGGAAGCUUUUCUUGCCACCUGUAUUUCAUAUGGCCAACACGUAUUUAGCUUUAAAUCUUUCCAUGAUUGCAUCAUAUCCUUCAACUAAUAUAGCAUGUGUAGGGGCAGUGGGGUAGCCCAGUGGUUAACACAUUUGCUCGUCACGCUGUAGGCCUGCGUUCGAUUCCCCAUAUGGGCACAAUGUGUGAAGCCCAUUUCUGGUGUCCCCGUCAUGAUAUUGCUGGAAUAUUGCUAAAAGCGGCGUAAAACCAAACUCACUCGCUCAGUAUACACAUGUUAUUUGCCUUUUCAUUAUACUUUACUUGAAAUAUUUGAAUUUGAAGUCAAAAAGAAAAUAUGUUUGGUUAUGUAUGUAAAAAGAUAUUUUUAUAUACAUGAGUUUAAUGCAUAGAUUUGAUAAUGGUAUAUUUUGAUGGUAGGCAUUUCAUCAAAUUCCACAGAACAUUAUGCAGAGUACAGCAAAACAUGUUUGCUAAAACAUUGAAAUCAGAUCCAAUAUGUUUCCUCUCUUCAAGAAGAUCUGACGACAACUCCUCAGAAUGUUUUUUUAUGGAGAACUUUCUUUUUGGCCAGUGAGCAUCAAAAUGUCUGUAUUCUUGGUCCUGAUAAAUGAAACAUUCAUACCAGAA